UACGUAGGGUGCGAGCGUUAAUCGGAAUUACUGGGCGUAAAGCGUGCGCAGGCGGUGAUGUAAGACCGAUGUGAAAUCCCCGGGCUUAACCUGGGAACUGCAUUGGUGACUGCAUUGCUCGAGUAUGGCAGAGGGGGGUGGAAGUUCCACGUGUAGCAGUGAAAUGCGUAGAGAUGUGGAGGAACACCGAUGGCGAAGGCAGCCCCCUGGGCCAAUACUGACGCUCAUGCACGAAAGCGUGGGGAGCAAACGAAGG
rnacentral:rRNA from 1 species